UAUUCUGUUAUCAAAUGCAACAUAAGAGAAGCAUCCUUUUAGCUACCGUUUGGUUCGGGGUUAAGGAAAAACUAGUUAUUUCAGGAAUAGGGUUAAGUUCAGGGUUAAGGUGGAGCUAAAGUAUUUUUGUGUUUGGUUGAGAAUUGGAGUUAGUCCAGGAUUAAAGAAAACAGUGUUUGGUUGGAGUAGGCGGGAUAAGAAAGAUAAUGGGUAAAAUAAUGUUUUGUUUGGUUAGAGUAGUGGGGUGGUGUAGGGUUUGCUGGGGUUAGCUAACCCCACCCCAAAUGGGCUAUCCCAGGUUAGUAUUUUUUUGAUAAAAAUAUACCAAACUUCAAUAAAUUAUUUUGAAUUAACUAUCCAAUCUUUCAAAAUUUUAAUUUUACUAUGCACCCUUUCAAUUUGUUUAAUAUGAAUUAGUCAACGGUAUUUUGAUUUUAAAAUUUAUAUUUGUUUAUCAUUAUAGAUUUAGUUCGUACACUUCAUACAAUUCUCGUAAUUAUAAAUUUAUUAAAAUAAGUAAUUAGCCUAAUUUCAAGUCAAAGUAAUGUUGACCAGCUCGAAUCAAAUAAAUAAAAGGUCGAAAAGUAAAAUCAAAUUUUUGAAAGGUUAGAUAAUUAAUUCAAAUGGUCUAUAGUUGAGCUAAGUUUGUAACUUUUUUUUUUUUGCUCAAAUACAAAAAAAAACUCUUCUAUAAACACUUUUUUUUUGUCUCCCAAAUUUUUAAAAAUCUAUUAUUUAUCCUUUUAAAAUUUCAAUUUAAUGCAUUUAGCUCCUUUCCGUAAAAAAUUUCCUCACCAAUUUCAUCCUUUUUUGUAAUUUACAUCGAAAAUGUAAUUGAAAAUGACACAAAUAUAUUUACAAUUAUUUUUUUUAUAAAACAAGUAAGAGUGAUCUGGUCAUUUUUCCAUUAAAGUCGUAAUUUUUUUAAAAUACUUUUCAAAUUAAAAAAAAAACAAAAUAUAAGUUUUUAGAAGAUCAACGUCGUAAUAUUUUGAAAAUAUUUUUAAAAUUCUAAAGAGACAAAAUAUAAGUUUUUAAAGAAAAAGCAAGUAUUUAUAUAGUGGGAAUUUUCUAUAUUUUAUUCUUAUUUCUUUUACAGCGGUGCAUGGGUGCUCUGACACGCCCGGUCCAGGCGAUAAUUUCCAAAUUCAUCGAAAAGUUUGUACGUACCUUCCGUACGAUCGUUCCCACCACCCACAUGUGGACACGUGGUUACGCCUCGACUCGACAUUCGCGGUGUGGGGACCACCGUGGCAGAGGAAGGACACGCAUUCACGUGGUGGGCCCCACCCCCACACCCACGAAAAAUUCUAGAAUGCAACGGGUAUAUUAGUGACGUGGCGUAACAAACCAAUCAAAUUAAUCCUUUUAAGAAUAUAUGUCCCAUCAUGAUUAUAAAAAAGUAUUUUUACUGUACUUUUGUUUAAAAAGAAGGAAUGUGAUUGGCUUGUUAUUGAUGACGUGGUGCAAGUGUGACAGUGUAGAAUUCCUCCACACCCACACCACCCACCCCUUUUUAUUAACCUUCAAAAUCAGGAGAAAAAAAAAAAGAAAAAAAAAGACUAUUUUAAACCCUACAUUAAUAAUUAAUUGGAUAACCUGCAGGUGAAUCAUUGUAUUUGUAGAUUAUAUAAAUAUGAAAAAUAAUUUUAGAAUAAAUUUUAAAUACAAUUUUUAUAAUAUCACUUUUUUUAUUUUAAUUAAUAGAUUAAGUACUAGUUCUAAUUGAAAUUUGAAUUAUGGACAUAGCACUAUGGACUUAAUCAAUUUGCAUUUUAUCUUAUUUUCUUCUUCUUCUUUUUUUUUCCUAUUUUGUCAUUUAUAUAUGUGAUAUGUGAUGGGCGCGCAUAAUACGCUGUAAUUUAAAAUGUAUCAAGUUAAUACCUUGUAAUUUUAUUUUUCUCUUUUUCGUCAGCUCCUCCUUUAAUAUUUUGCUAAAUUAUAUACAAAAAAAAACUUCC
rnacentral:lncRNA from 1 species